rnacentral:rRNA from 1 species
UACGUAGGGGGCUAGCGUUGUCCGGAUUUAUUGGGCGUAAAGAGCGUGUAGGCGGCCAGGUAGGUCUGCUGUGAAAACUCGAGGCUCAACCUCGAGACGUCGGCGGAAACCAUCUGGCUAGAGUCCGGAAGAGGAGAGUGGAAUUCCUGGUGUAGCGGUGAAAUGCGCAGAUAUCAGGAGGAACACCAGCGGCGAAGGCGGUGCUCUGGGCCGGAACUGACGCUGAGGAGCGAAAGCGUGGGGAGCGAACAGG